rnacentral:rRNA from 1 species
CCUACGGGACGCAGCAGUAGGGAAUCUUCGGCAAUGGACGAAAGUCUGACCGAGCAACGCCGCGUGAGUGAAGAAGGUUUUCGGAUCGUAAACUCUGUUGUUAGAGAAGAACAAGUAGGAGAGUAACUGCUCUUACCUUGCCGGUAUCUAACCAGAAAGCCACGGCUAGCUACGUGCCAGCAGCCGCGGUAAUACGUAGGUGGCAAGCGUUGUCCGGUUCUAUUGGGCGUAAAGCGAGCGCAGGCGGUCUUUUAAGUCUGAUGUGAAAGCCCUCGGCUCAACCGAGGAAGGCCAUUGGAAACUGGAGGACUUGAGUGCAGAAGAGGAGAGUGGAAUUCCAUGUGUAGCGGUGAAAUGCGUAGAUAUAUGGAGGAACACCAGUGGCGAAGGCGACUCUCUGGUUUGUAACUGACGCUGAGGCUCGAAAGCGUGGGGAGCAAACAGGAUUAGAUACCCCUGUAGUC